GAUCUGGUCCAGGGAAUCGGUGUCUUCCUUCCCCCAUGAAGCAAACUUCUCCAACCUUGAACCCUCUAGAUGCCAUGAAUUCCUAUAGUUCUCGCCAGCGCGGCAAGGACGUGUUGGAUGCGGUGCUGGCAGUUUUAAUUCAGUGCAUCUGGACAGCGCCAGCAUGCAGGUAUCAGAACGUGAUGGUGGAGUGUCCACAGGGAAUGGAUUAGACGCUGCCACAGCAUCUGAUGCCCAGCAAGUUUCGCCCUCUCACCCUAAGCCUCCUUCCUUGGACCUCUUUAAUCUGGUGGUAUCCUAUAAGCAACUAGAGCUGUACCUGGAACCACUGCAGGAUGUUGCUGAAGGAGUGUGGUUCCUCCUCAGCUGGCAGAUGCCCUUCUGCUCUCUCCUUACUUGUUUGGGUGUCAACUUUCUGCUGCUUACUCUGAGUGAAGCUGCUUGGUAUGGGCUGUGUGCCCUGCUCAUCUCAGUGCCUGCCAUGCUCGGCUAUCUACAGGAAACAUGCCACAUCCGUCUUACUGAAGAGCAGCUGGCACGCCGUAGGUAUCACAGUGUGCGGAGAGAAGAUGUGAGAAAAGUUCAACUUUCUCGAAAUGAGGCUGUGGCUGAAGUUAAGGGCUUCCUGAUCCGAUUAGAAGCGCUCCUGAACAGGCUGUGUGGUGGCUGUGAGGCAGCUUACCGUGUCUUGUUCUGGGAGAACCCUACUGUCUCCUCCCAGUUUUAUGGGAUGCUGAUGGGUUCAGUUUGUGCCGUUUACCUGCUGCCCCUCUGCUGGAUCUUUGUUCUUCUUAAUAGUACCCUUUUCUUGGGCAAUGUGGCAUUUUAUCAAGUGACGCUAGACCUAAAGUCAGCUGUAGAGCAGCGCUUAGGUUUCAAAUCCACCCCUGCGGCUCCAGAGCCUGAAGAGCUGGAUCCUGGAGAAGUGGAAGCUACUGUCUUGCCAGAUUGGACACCUACCCUGACUGGGACUGAGGACCUAACUCCUGGCAGUGUGGAGGAAGCAGAGGAAGCAGAACCUGAUGAUGAAUUCAAGGAUGCAAUUGAGGAGGAAGACGACAUCUCUCAGGGUUCAGGAGAGUUUGAGCUUGGCCUUCCUGACAGUCCCUUUAUGAGCAGGAAUGAUGUGAUUCGUAGCAGGGUGUCACGGUUGACAGAACGACUGCGCAAACGUUAUCCAACCAACAACCUUGGAAACUGUGCGAGUUGUUCCGCCACUUUCUCUGUCUUGAAGAAGAGGGUGAGUCUUUUCUCCAGCCCACCAACUCCCUGCCUGGCCUGUUCCAUUUUCUUCUUUCCCUGCUUCAUCAUCUUGGUGGAUCUCAGACUGAACUCUGCAGCCUGCUCACUCACUCCUCUCCUUGCAUCUUUUCCCUCUCUAGCGAAGCUGCAGUAACUGUGGGAACAGUUUUUGCUCCAGGUGCUGUUCUUUCAAAAUUCCCAAGAGCUACAUGGGGGCUACAGCCCCAGAGGCCCAGCGGGAGACUGUCUUUGUAUGUGGGCAGUGUAACCAAGCACUCACCAAGUGAGGAGCCCAUAUGGAGUCCAAUCUUCAGAGGAAUCUGCUGGGGAUCUCACACUACACUAGCUGCUACUUGAAGGGAGACAAGCAAUGGCACGGCGUCUUUUCUUCCUCCCUAUACUUGUAAAAAAAAAAAAAGGAGGGCAAGCACAUCUAACCUGCUGACUGCUCUGUGUGCUCCUGCUCCCUUCCUUGAAAGCAACUGAGGAGAUCUCUGCAAUCCUGGUUGUGUGGAGGAUUCUUCAUGCACUAAACCAGGGGUCUCCAACCUUGGCAACUUUAAGACUUGUGGACUUUAACUCCCAGAAUACCUCAGCCAGCUUUGCUCGUUCAGGAAUUCUGGGAGUUGAAAUCCACAAGUUUU